rnacentral:rRNA from 1 species
GCCCUUCGGGGGGCCUACGGGAGGCAGCAGUGGGGAAUAUUGGACAAUGGGCGCAAGCCUGAUCCAGCAAUGCCGCGUGUGUGAAGAAGGCCUGCGGGUUGUAAAGCACUUUCGGCAGGGAAGAAAGGCUCAAUGUUAAUACCAUUGGGCUCUGACGUUACCUGCAUAAGAAGCACCGGCUAACUUCGUGCCAGCAGCCGCGGUAAUACGGAGGGUGCAAGCGUUAAUCGGAAUUACUGGGCGUAAAGCGCGCGUAGGCGGUUAAGUAAGUUGGAUGUGAAAGCCCUGNGCUUAACCUAGGAAUUGCAUACGAUACUGCUUAGCUAGAGUAUGGGAGAGGAAGGCGGAAUUCAGGUGUAGCGGUGAAAUGCGUANAUAUCUGGAGGAACACCAGUGGCGAAGGCGGGCUUCUGGCCCAAUACUGACGCUGAGGCGCGAAAGCGUGGGGAGCAAACAGGAUAGAUACCCUGGUAAUCCAGCUGUAAACAAUUAAGACUGUUUGUUGAAAGGGUUGCCUUUCAUUAACCCACUAACGCCCUAAGUCCUCCGCCUGGGGAAUACGGCCCCAAGUUUAAACUCAAAGGA